GACGAACGCUGGCGGCGUGCUUAACACAUGCAAGUCGAACGGAAAGGCCCUGCUUUUGUGGGGUGCUCGAGUGGCGAACGGGUGAGUAACACGUGAGUAACCUGCCCUUGACUUUGGGAUAACUUCAGGAAACUGGGGCUAAUACCGGAUAGGAGCUCCUGCUGCAUGGUGGGGGUUGGAAAGUUUCGGCGGUUGGGGAUGGACUCGCGGCUUAUCAGCUUGUUGGUGGGGUAGUGGCUUACCAAGGCUUUGACGGGUAGCCGGCCUGAGAGGGUGACCGGCCACAUUGGGACUGAGAUACGGCCCAGACUCCUACGGGAGGCAGCAGUGGGGAAUAUUGCACAAUGGGCGGAAGCCUGAUGCAGCAACGCCGCGUGCGGGGUGACGGCCUUCGGGUUGUAAACCGCUUUCGCGUGUGACGAAGCGUGAGUGACGGUAAUGGGUAAAGAAGCACCGGCUAACUACGUG
rnacentral:rRNA from 1 species